GCACAAGCGGUGGAGCAUGUGGCUUAAUUCGACGCAACGCGAAGAACCUUACCAAGGCUUGACACACACCGGAAACGUCCAGAGAUGGGCGCCCCCUUGUGGUCGGUGUACAGGUGGUGCAUGGCUGUCGUCAGCUCGUGUCGUGAGAUGUUGGGUUAAGUCCCGCAACGAGCGCAACCCUUGUCCUGUGUUGCCAGUAUGCCCUUCGGGGUGAUGGGGACUCACGGGAGACCGCCGGGGUCAACUCGGAGGAAGGUGGGGACGACGUCAAGUCAUCAUGCCCCUUAUGUCUUGGGCUGCACACGUGCUACAAUGGCCGGUACAAUGAGCUGCGAUACCGCGAGGUGGAGCGAAUCUCAAAAAGCCGGUCUCAGUUCGGAUUGGGGUCUGCAACUCGACCCCAUGAAGUCGGAGUCGCUAGUAAUCGCAGAUCAGCAUUGCUGCGGUGAAUACGUUCCCGGGC
rnacentral:rRNA from 1 species